rnacentral:rRNA from 1 species
UACGAAGGGGGCUAGCGUUGUUCGGAAUCACUGGGCGUAAAGCGCACGUAGGCGGACUCUUAAGUCGGUGGUGAAAUCCUGGAGCUCAACUCCAGAACUGCCUUCGAUACUGAGAGUCUUGAGUCCGGGAGAGGUGAGUGGAACUGCGAGUGUAGAGGUGAAAUUCGUAGAUAUUCGCAAGAACACCAGUGGCGAAGGCGAGUCUCUGGACAGUUGCUGACGCUGAGGCACGAAGGCCAGGGGAGCAAACGGG